UUUAGUUACUGUCUCCAUUUCCACUUGCAAAGCUUUGUAAACCGCAUCAACACCAACGAGAAGUUCUCUAUGUGAACCAAGUAAGGUAAAUCCUCUUUUGUAUGCUAUAGUAGAUUUUGAUGAUGAAGUGGUGAGGUUUUUAAAGAUGGAACAAAUCAAUUAGCUCAAUACAACUCCUCUGUUGCAAGGACUCGUUUGAAUGCUAUAGCCAUGGUAGAUUUUGAUUAAGAAAGAAUGGUGAGGUCGCUAUAAACUUGCUUAAGUAAAAGAUGGAAUAGAUCGUUUAGCUCAAUACAGCUUCUCUGUUGCAAGAUUCUUGCAGAGUGAUUUGAGACAAGAACCUUUUCACUUAAGGGAAAAAAACCAAUUGUUCAUGGUUGUUCAGGAACACUUGUGGAUGAGAAGAUUUCAGAGGAAGAUAUGGAGUUGUCUUUGAAAACUGAUGUUUGGCAGUAGUUCAGUCUGUAUACUCUAUGUACUUACACAUUUUGGAUUGUUUGGUAUGCUAUAGCCACAGUAGGUUUUGGACAUAGAAAUGGCGAGGUUUUUAAAGAUGGAACAAAUCAAUUAGCCCAAUACAACUCCUCUGUUGCCAGGUGAGUUUUUAUUCAUGUGCUGCAUUUGUGUUGAAAUUCAAUUGUCACUAGAUUGGGAUACUUAA